rnacentral:lncRNA from 1 species
UGUUCUAGAGUGCCAUCCUACCUGGAUGGUCAGCCCCAGGAGGGGACAAAGCCAGAGCCUUAGCACGGGACAGCCUUGCCCACCUGCCCCUGCCUUCUCCCCCACACGCCUCCAACCCCGAAGAGGCAGUUCUCCUUCCAGCGGCAGGUGGUUAGAGACCUCCGGUGCCCGCAUCCUGAGAUAACUCCACACCAGGGUUACGGUGAAACUGCGCCAUCUAGCCCAGCAGGCCGGCCCUUUGUGUGACAACUAAAGGAACCUGAACUGGUCAAGAUUGGGCACAGAACAAACACCCGAGUCCAACCGCCAACUUCCAAGUGUCCCAGAGGGAAACGAGCGGAACCACGACCACCAGAGCCUGUUGGUUCCAGGGUGAGUGGAGCUAGCCGACUUCAGGAACCGCCCGCCACGUGUUCUCUGCCAUCCAGAGCUGCUUUGAAAACAGAAACGGCCAUUUAAAAGUCGACCUGGCCGGUUAGUCUUGAAGGGAAAUGACCUGACCGCGCAUCCCUAACUGUCCUCCCAGUGCGGACGAUGGGGCCAUGGUGACGGGCUACACCUGCCUUCACAGUGGACGACACCACGGACGAUGUCCAGCUUCCCUAAUUCAUGGUCAUAAUCAAAAUCAAAGGGGGAGAAAAGCUACCACUCUAAACAAGAUAAUGUACAUUUGUUAGGAAAAGAAGUGUGCUUCUGUCCCAUGAGGAUUCUGGAAGAAAUUUUACCCUAAAAGGCAUCCUUUGGCAAAUCUCCAUCCAAGCAAGGCCAGAGCCAGCAGCCAGCAGGUGCCCAGUGGCGGACAAUGGGGGAUGAAGUCAGAAACAUAUGUUUGUGCCCUAUGAAGUUCAAGUCAGAGCCUGGACCUCGAAGGACUUUAAUAUAUGCCCCUUUCGCAUCAAAGUCCUGGCCAGCCAGUGAACUCCAGGUCAGUUCCGGAGUCCUGAGGCAGCCCAGCCCCAAAAUCACAGAAUUCACGACAUUUUUGCACAGAGUUGCAGCUACCGGAUCUAUCCUUCAUAAUGAUGUUACAAAAUAACAAAAUUACAGACAUGAAGCACAAUCUUGGGAAUGCACUGCAGUGAUGGCCAGAAAACAGUCUUCGGUUUCUUGUGAAAUGCUGUAUCUUAAAAUUAAAAAAUGACAGACUUGUGUGUCUUUGCCAUCACAAAGUUACACAACAUGUUUAAAAUAUCAAAGGACUGUAAUGGAAAAAUAGGAAUCCACAGCUGUAGAACUUCCCAUAAUUGGGGGCACCCAACCCCGUGCAGUCUCAAAGACUCAUGGUGGGCUUCUGCUCACUAAGAAGCCUCCUGAGGGACCCUCUCUCCGGGACCCGCUUGCGGCUGUCACUUUCCCUUUGCUCUCGUUGUCACUAACUUUGCUUAAUGACCUCGUUCUCUGGGACUAACCAUUUCUCCAGCAGAGGAACAGGCCUCGCUCUUCCAAGGUUGGAGUUGGGGGAAUUGGCUCUCUGGCUGAGACCCCAGAGUGCGGGGGCAGAGCUCCACGUGGUGUGAUGGGACCAAAUGUUCAGUACAUUUUUUUUUCUAAAUGGAUGUUCAAUAUUUUAAGUGGCACAUCAGUUACUCUGGGGUACUCUUAUCCAGUUCACUCCAUCAGCUUCAAUAAAUGCCAAAUUAAAAAGAAGAAGAAGGGAAA